UUCCUGUAUAACCAUGAAACAUUAAAGAGUUCAACAAGCUUAGUAAGGCCUAUUGCAGCUCCCAAAAGACUUAUUUAAGACGUACCAAGCGAGGCUCGGAUUGUCGAGUGAUAUAUAUGUGAAUCUCAAGGUUUAGUUUCUUAGAGAAGAAAGGGCAAAUGGAAGGUAUGUCAAUUGCUGAGAGCAGAGAGAGCUCGUCUGAGUUUUUAAUGGCCCAUACAACUAAAACCUUACUAGGUAAACAAGCUUUCCCAUCUCUUUUACGGUGUAGGAUAUCGCUUAAGAUGGCGAAAAAAGGCGUAAUCCCGAUUCCUCCUGCUACUAAGACCAGGUUCUCAUACCUGCACCCGCAAUAAAUCUUUCUUGAGUUAAGCUAAAGCUUAUGGCAUUGAAAAAAUUUCAAGUAGACGAAAUGCAUUACGCUAAAUGGUAUGGAGAUUCAUGGCCAUAAGGUCCCUCCACACAAGUUGUGAUUUUAGGAUAUGACUGAGGAGAAAUGAGCUGAUCUUGGUUCUCUGCCUCGUAUAGAUUUGACAACUGGUCUCUAAGCUUUGCAGUCCAUCCACCAAGAACCUUUAUGAGAACCGCAACAUGAUGGUUCCCAUCUAGAGGGCUUGAAGAAACACUAAAUGGAUGCCAUUGUAGCCAAGAUAGUUCCCUCACUUGAAGAAAGAUAAAGCUAAGCGCAUUGUAUCGCAUAUCUGAUUUUUGCGGUAUUGAAGAAGAAAAAAGUCAGUAAAUGUUUUAGAUUAGAGGUAGAAAACAGAGAAUAAACAGAGUUGUUACUUGGUGGUUUUGAAAGGACUAGUUCAAGAGUUCCACAAGGUAAACUCUUUGCAGAGAUUACAUCAACAGUCCUUCUUGAUUGGCAGAACCUCAAGAAGCGGUCUAGAAUGAAAAGAAAUAUUCCUCCAGCAACUAUACUAAACAUGUAAUCACCAACAUGAAGUGCCAAGAACACAAUAAAGACGAUGUAUAGUUGAUGUGUGUAGAAGAAGAGCUCAAAGUAAUUCUUUCUCACGGUGUGAAGCGAUGUGACCCACAUCAGUAAACCCGCCACUAGACUGAUAACUCCGGGUAAGAUAGCAAUUCCGAUAGCAUUCCAUGAAAAUAUCUGAGAGGAGUAAGUAGUUGAUGAUGAUGAAACUUUACAAUAGAAAAUAAGAAGAUAAAAUUGUGACUUAUAGAGUAUAGACCUAUCUUGAACCGAUGAUCGACACUAUACUAUAGUAGAUAAACUAGGCUAUACUAUUAUGUCAAGAUUCAAUGAUGUUGUAGGAUCUUACAAGCUCUAAAAGUUGACCUUGAAUGAUCCAUCCAACAACAUAACAGAGGCCAUGUAAGGAGAAGAAAGCCAUGGUGAUAUGACCAAGCCAAACAUGAUAUCUUGUAGCAUGUUCAAAAGGGAUAUCGAUAAGACGGAGAAGAAUGGAACCUCUCGAGAUUGGAAGAAACAAAAAAACCAUACACAACAAUCCAAUCAUUCCUAAACGCAGACCCGUUACCUCCAACAGAAGAAUACUGAAAAUACACACACACAAAACUAAUGAUUGGAAUGAGAAGGAAAAAGACAAAGAUGGGAAAAAAAAAGGAAGAGUUUUAAGAACCUUCGAUUCUUGGGAAGGACGUGGAAGCGUUCAAGAAGGUCAAGAUUCCUCAAGGUAUAAGCAUAGAUAGACCAAAGGAAAAAAACAGAGAAGACCAUAAUUCCAAGAAACUCAGCUGCAGAAACAACUCCAAAUGGUCCAUCCACAAGAACAGGGAAUGUCCAUAGCCUAAACCUCGGGAAUUUCGAUAUCUUCUUCCUUCACAAUCAUCAUGACACACACAUUUAUGCAAGAACAAAAAUUGAUACAACCAAAAGAAUGCAAUUGGGGAUAUUAUUACACGUACUUAGUGAAGACCUUGUCUUCCCCGGAGAUAAUGAGAUAGAGAGAAGCUAAGACAGAGAUGACAAGAAUCGGACAACUGAAAAUCAAGAACAUGGUUCCUGCAAAUUUAGACAAUUAAAGGAUGAAAUUAGUUACACUUUUUGGACAUGUUUCCGUAGAAAGCAAAGCAUCUGCUCGUUAAUGUAACCUGUGGUGCCUAGGAAAGUCUUGGAGGAGACAAAUGUGAGGAAAUCAUCACCGAGUUGUUCAGGGUACAUCAUCAUAAGAAAAACAACCCAAGUCACAAAAAUCAUAGACAUUACAACUUUCAAUAUCCAUUUCAAAGAUGAAGUAAUCACAGAUGAUGAUGAUGAUGAGUCCUUGGACAAAAGAGGGGUUUCAUAAUCAUCCAUCUUUAUUUGAAUUUCCACUUCUCAGUGUUGUGAUGAGAAGUUGGCUCAGAAGCAGCAUCGGCUUUUAAGGUGGCGUUACUAGAGAUAAACUAAUAAGAUAUUCUUAGAAGAGUCAAGUAAAAUUUUCUGGACCAUUGAGGUUUCUAUCAUUCUCAUUUAUGAAAGAUUCCUUCGGACAACAAUCCUAGUACACAAUAAAAAAAACUAUAAAAAAAAAUGAGAGUGUCAUUAACACGUGAGAGUAACGUACUUGGGAGAGAGUGUCACGUUAGGUUGAUUUCAACCACAAUUAAGGGUAAGGUGAGAGACUGAGAGUACUUACUACUUUAGUAUAGAUAAGAUGGUUAUUAUGACGACUAUGAUGGUUAUUGGAUAAGCUUACAUUACCUGAAUCUGAACAUAUAGAAUUUCAACAUCAUUCGGAUUAGCUCGAAAGAAACAUUAUUCGGUUUCCGCGUUCAAGAUCCAGCAGAGAGAUAAAUUUGCAAAGUUUCACUGUUAGAUUGUUUCUGGUAAAUGACACUAUCUAACAAUGUGUUACGUUAAACAAGAAUAAUCGACUAUCAUGAAGUUGUAUCAAUCUCGAACACACAAGUUAUAAUCAGUCCAAGGAAAAACUUAGAUGUAUAUAGUCAAAAAAAUUCUUCAUUACACUUUUAAGUAACCGAAACAAAAUCCAAUAACAAAUAAAAGUACCACUUAGACUUAGCUACGAUUUACAUGUCAACAAAAGAACACUAAGAAAUUAUAAUUAAGUCUCAUGAAGUUGUAUGUGUAGACAAAAAAGAAUUAUAAUCAGGCCUAGAGAGAGUAAAGUUUGAUUUCAACCACACUUUAGGGAAGGUGAGAGUAUUGACUAUUGAGUAUGGAUAAGAUGAUUAUAAUGACGAUUGUAAUGGUUGUUGUACCAUUAUAUUUAUAUAUUAAGUUAUUAACUCAAAAGAACUAAGAAAUUGCUAUCAUGAAGUAGCAUCAAUCUCAAAAAUUAGUUAAAGUUGUUUCCAUAAUACAUACAGACUGUGAUUAUAUAAAUUAUAUGCAUCGAUAAUAUAUCUUCGAAUUUCCAUAAUGUUCUUUGGCCUUGAGAGCAUCGUUAGAGAUCGAAACUGUGGCUGUUGAAGUGGAAAAGAGGAUGAUUCGCCGAUCGCCAGAUGCUAUGUGACCGUAUUUCUUUGGCUACGGUCGUCUGAAGAGUCGCUGGACCGCAUACUAUCACUCCAACAUCCACACUCCCCCAUUUCCCAUUCAAUGACUCAAAUAUCUCUGCAAUUACAAAAUAAAAAUAUUACAUGAACCAAUCAAAGAUUUAACUUAACCGAAUCGAGCCAAAUAUCUACACCAAAAGUCGGAUUCAAGAACCGAACGAAACCGUGUCAAACCGUUCCGAAUGAUUUCAGUUUCUAUAAUUUUAUAAAUAAAAAAACGAGAUAACUGGACUUGACACCGCUAAUUUUGUAGUGUAUACCUCUAAAGGCCGGUCUGGUGCCAUAACGAAUAGUGGUGUAAUUCUGGACAUCUUCUUCUAUUGCCAAGCCCUUAAGCUCUGCUGCAGAUGGAUUAUGGGUUUCUUCUCCAUUCAAAUCUACCUUGUCGUUGCCAUUUGCUUCCACUUCACCGGUUUUGUGUUCCCAGCGAUGCCAGAAAACAACCACAAGACCUCCAAAAAUCAACACACUUGCAACCAUACAAACAACAAACAGAAGUCCCUUGUACCACCAUGUUGUUAUGUUGUACUUGUUUAUGUAAAAGAUGUCCACCAAUGUGAUCAUUGCAAUAAACCCAAUGGUGGAGAUAAUUAGAUAGAGUCCAGACCAUAUGUUAUCCCCUGUACCAACUAAAACCGACAUGGAACAUCCGUUGGUCCAUGGUGUUUUGACAGAAGGAUGCACCACCUUGUGAACCAUCCCAUCUUCCUGUAUAACCAUGGAACAUUGAAGAGUUCAAAAACUAAGUAAGGCCUAUUGCAGCUCCCAAAAGAGUUAUGUAAGACUUACCAAGCAAGGCUCGGAUUGUCGAGUGACAUAUAUGUGAAUCUCAAGGUUUAGUUUCUUAGAGAAGAAAUGGCAAAUGGAAGGUAUGUCAAUUGCUGAGAGCAGAGAGAGCUCGUCUGAGUUUUUAAUGGCCCAUACAACUAAAACCUUACCAGGUAAACAAUCUUUCCCAUCUCUUUUACGGUGUAGGAUAUCGCUUAAGAUGGCAAAAAAAGGCGUAAUCCCGAUUCCUCCUGCUACUAAUACCAGGUUCUC
rnacentral:lncRNA from 1 species